AGGUUGAACGCUGGCGGCGUGCCUAACACAUGCAAGUCGAGCGGUAGCAGGUGUAGCAAUACAUGCUGACGAGCGGCGAACGGGUGAGUAAUGCUUCGGAAUCUACCCACGGGUGGGGAAUAACCAACCGAAAGGUUGGCUAAUACCGCAUAAGUCCUACGGGGGAAAGCGGGGCCGGAAAGGACCGUCGCGCUGAAGGAGCGGCCGAUGUCCGAUUAGCUAGUUGGUGAGGUAAAGGCUUACCAAGGCGACGAUCGGUAGCUGGUCUGAGAGGAUGAUCAGCCACACUGGGACUGAGACACGGCCCAGACUCCUACGGGCGGCAGC
rnacentral:rRNA from 1 species